UGCAGCAGGCAGCGAAACCACUGAGCUAAAUCCCUGGCCCGUAAUGUUUCAUUUUAACUGAUAAAAUUUAAAACAGCCAAGUUUCUAAUACUCUAACGUUAGAGAACAAGGUCUCCCAGUGAGUGAGAAAGCAGUAGUCACACAAAGAAUGGGUGAUUAUGACACUUUACAGCUACUGUGUACCUGAGGAAAAUACUGUUUCAUGAUAACUUUGUACCUGGUUCCACUGUCUGUUCCUACAGCCUAAUGAAUGGCAGGUUAGCUUUUACCUAUCUUAGUAUGAGCUGAUUCUUAUGUUUUCACCCAUUUGUUGUCUACUCAUAAUCAGCCUUGAUUAACCUAUAGACUAUCUCCCACUGAUCAUUUUGAAGUAAAUCCCAGAUCAGGGUAACCUUUACAGCUAGAGACUUAAAGAACUCUGUAUACAUUGCUUGGAUCCCCUAAUGCCCAGUAGGUACAAAACAGUUGUCAUUCCCACUCACAUGCCCACCACCACCCCUACCUCACCCAGCCAACAAAACCCAUUUAUCAUGCUUCUCAGUCUACCCAGUUGACCACAUCAGCAGCUUGGAGACCACUUUGCCCCUCCUAUUUUUUCACACUCAUUCUCACCAAAUUCUGCCUGUUUAUCUCUGAAAUCUCUCAAAUCGUCUUUGUAUCCCAAAGUCGUUCUGUUAUUGAAGGUGUAGUAGACAUUAUAAUUGACUCCCCAGCAGUCAUAUAUUCUGCUUGGUUGCUUGCUUCCUUGCUUGCUUUUUGAAACGGUCUCACUAUGCAUUCUAGGCUAGCCUCAAACUCUUGGCACCUUCCUGCCUCAGCCUCCCAAAUGCUGGGAUUACAAGCAUGCAUUAGCAUGCCUGGUUGCUUCUCCUUUUUUUAUAGCAGUUAUAUGGUUCCCUUUGCAGUAAUGGCUAUGCCUAAGAGUGUCUGGAAUGCCCUUCACCACGAGCCUCCACAACAAUAUGACCAGUAAGUCUCCUAUCCCCAAGCCACCUCAACUGAGCAAUGUAUAGAAAAACUGUUGCUAUCCAGAAGAACAGCUUCAAGUCAGGUCUCCUGCAUAGAGGGACUGGAGCUGCCACGUUUUUAGAACCUCAUCUUCCACCACUCCUGUCAUAAGCCCCACCAGACUACCCACGAUUCCAGAAUAGGUGAUGUACUUCCCACUUGAUGAAAUGUUUCUCUCCCACACCAUUUUACCCUGGAAGAAGUUAUUCUGCCAGUACCAAGUCUACUAUUCCUCUCUGGGAAACCCUUUCCUCACUCAACAUGGAAAUACUAGUAUCUGCUUUUGGAGAUCCUGCUUAUUAGACUUCUGUCAAAUGUAUCAUACCUGAGUGAAAGUUGUUUGGAGACAUCUCUUUGAUGUCCUUGGCUUUGACCUUCUUGACACAGACCAUGUCUUUGUCACUUAUCCCAAUGCUAUUUUUUUUUUUAAUAUUUAGUCAAUGCCUAAUAUAGAUUUGCUAAAUAAGAGUGAUGUGAGUGGAGAAACAGGUGCCCUUCCUAAGGUUAUUGGGCUGUGAGCUCCGUGUUCUGAUCAUUAAUUUAUGAAGUACUUUCUCUGUGCUAAAUAUUAUGAGGAUGUGUAAGAAAAUUAAGGGGCCCAGACCCCAUCCUCAAGUUGAAAAGAGCUGGUGACGGAUUCCUACUGUUGCCAGCUAUCCUACUGAACACUUUAUUAAUCUUCGCAACAAUCCUGUGAAGGAGAGUUAAGAUCCUAGUGUUAACCAGUGAGGAAACUGAAGCUCAGAGAGGUUGAGUAAUUCACAUGGAGCCCCACCAUAGGUGGUGGAGCUGGUACUCAAAUCCAGGACUCUCCUGAUCCCAAAGCCUGUCUGCACAAUACCAGACUGCCAUGGAAGGAAGAGAAGACUAGGUUAUUGAGAAAAGAAAGCAAGCAUGUAUUUCUUUGGCUGCUGUGUGGAUUUGCCAGCCUGAACAGGAACACCUUCUAGUUUGCCAGCUAGAUGGAAACCACCAGACAUGCUGGAUAUGCCUUUGACUACUGGGUCCCCAAGCAGACACAGAGAUGCUUCCAGUGGCCCAUAUUCUCUCUUCUCAGCAACUGCAUCUCUUUAGGUCCCUUAGGCACUGGAUACUGGAACAUAUUUGAAAGUUUGGUGGAUGUUCUGGAAUGCCUUUAUAAGUACCUUCCUACUCACUUCCCAGCUCACCCUUUACAUUACUAUCAGGUGAUUCUUCCAAAGCACCUUUAAUCAUGUUAAUAUUCUUCUUUAAAAGGUCAGUGUCCAAAUGAAAGUAGCAUUUGAAUUGGAUCCUGGAACAGAAAAAGGACAUUUGUGGAAAAACUAAUGAAAUCCAAAUUAGGUCAGCAAUUUAGUUAAUAGUAACAUACCAGUGUGGGCUUAAUUUUGACAAGUGUACCAUGUAAUGUAAGAUAUUAGCUCUAAGGGAAACUGAGGUAUGUGGAAACUGCUAUCUUUGCAACUUUUCUAUAAAUCCAAAAUUAUCUCAAAAUAAAAAUUCAUUUUAAAAAAAUGUUGAUGUGCUUUACAAGAUGAUGACCAAGUUCCCUCGUUACCCGGGCUUUGGGGCCUCCAGCUCUGACUUGCCCUCCUGUGAAAGAAGCCUCUGUUCUAGCUGCAUGGUUCUGCUUCUGUCCUUUGGACAAAGUCUGUGCUCUCCUAGUCCCUGCAUAUGCCUGACUGUGUAUCUUGCUGGAUUGAUACGCCACCAAAGAGUCAUGGUCCUUCACUGCAAACAGAAGUUACUAUGACCCUAAUGAAACUUAAGUUUCAAGGCUUGUCAUUUGCAAGCCCCAGGAGGGUCCACCAUGACGGUCACGAGAAUUUGGUCUCCCUGUAACUACUGCUACAGUCACAGAAGGUUUGUUAUGACUAAGAUUCUGGUAGGUACAUCUGAAAAUGAAAAAGGCCAUGUGCACACAUUUAACAAAGUUAUGCAAACAACAUGGGAAGGCUAUACUCAUCAUUGGGGCUAUUCCCAAGAAGUGUUCCCAAGGGUGGCUGUGGGAAAACCUUGUGUUCUCUACAUCAGUGAUGACCCCAUCAUCCCUCUGGCCUCCUCAGGUAAUUCCUGACUCAUUCCUGACUCCCAAGUAAUUAUCUCAUGCUACCAUUCCCCCUAAUAUUUAUCAGAGCUGCUCUCGUCUCCUCUCCUGAAUCAGGCUCUCAUUUAGUCUCUCUGUCCUUUCUGUGACUCUUCCAAAGCCCUGCUCUAUGGAGCACCCACACAGCUCUUUAGCAUACUCACCUCAUUGAGCCACCAGGUAGGUGCCUCUAGAACAUGCCUUGGGCUUCCAGGCACCCUGAGCAGGCACUUAACCUUUCCCACCCUUCUGUUGUAGUUUACAUCAAACCCUCAUCUUUCCCCUGCAUUACUUAUUACUCACAUUGCAUUUGCUUAUGUCACCCUCCCGGAAUGCCCUUCAUCCUCUCAGCCUGCCUUUAUCAGCAGUUAUCAUCUGCAGGAAGCCUCUGCCAACUCCCACCCAGCUGGCUCAGGUGCCCUACUUGGUGCUCCAGUGUAAUGCAACCAUCUUACUGUAGCACUGACUGCAUAGCACUGAAAUGAUCUCUUUCCCUGUCUCUUACAGCACAGAAUACAUCCAAUCCUGUUUGUACCUCCAGUACCUGGGAAUGAGUAAUCCAAUAAGCACUUGAGGAAUAGAAAGAAAAGGAGAAAAGAGGAAGCAGGCUGAGCCUGGGAAGGGCCCCUUGUUCUAAGCAAUGAAAUGUUCCCCACAGCCUUAUCCCUUUAUGCUGCCAGCAACAUGCUACCAACUAGCUGAGCCCCUUGUCAGAGUCCCUUGGGCCUCUGUGUAGCCUCUCUGCCCCUGGAUUGAUUAUAUGACUGUGAGAUCCUUAGAAAGAAUGGUAGAAAUUCAAGAGAUGGUGAACCCUUUGAUUCUGCUCUCAGACACACAUCCUUUCCAGAUGAUCUAGACCAUGAAAUACCUCAUAAGGGAGGGAACUGCAGAAGACAGAUGCCUCUGGCCUGGACUCCUUAGAACUGCAACAUCAGCCCUGGACUGCCUGCCUCAGACUUCUUUUGUAUGAGAAAGCUGUAAACUUCUAAGUCACCAUUGUUUAAGAUAUUGUCAUUAUGUACAGGUAUGAAGAAAACAACUCAUCUGGAAACCCACUAACAUUUUGAUAUAUUUUCUUCCAGUCUUUGGGAAUAUUUCAUUUCACAUUUUUGAUAAUGCUGUGGUGAUUUUUUUCAUUUGACUUCAUGCAUUAACUAUUUUGUAAUGUCAUAAUGUUUUCAAAAAUAUUUGAAUAUUAAAACAUAUGAAAUGA